GGACCAAGGAGUCUAGCAUGUGCGCGAGUCAUUGGGAAAUAACUAAACCUAAAGGCGCAAUGAAAGUAACGGAAAAAUUUAUUUUUCCGAGGGAAGAUGGGCUUUCACUAGUGAAGGCCCCGCACUCCCAGGGCAUCUCAUACUCAUUACGAGUAGAGGCGCACCAAGAGCGUACACGCUGGGACCCGAAAGAUGGUGAACUAUGCCUGGUCAGGACGAAGUCAGGGGAAACCCUGAUGGAGGUCCGUAGCGAUUCUGACGUGCAAAUCGAUCGUCGGAACUGGGUAUAGGGGCGAAAGACUAAUCGAACCAUCUAGUAGCUGGUUCCCUCCGAAGUUUCCCUCAGGAUAGCUGGCGCUCGUUGCACACGAGUCUCAUCCGGUAAAGCGAAUGAUUAGAGGCAUUGGGGUCGAAACGGCCUCAACCUAUUCUCAAACUUUAAAUGGGUGAGAUCUCCGGCUUGCUCGAACUUAUGAAGCCGCGAGAUUCGGAUCAGAGUGCCAAGUGGGCCAUUUUUGGUAAGCAGAACUGGCGCUGUGGGAUGAACCAAACGUUGAGUUAAAGCGCCUAAAUCGACGCUUAUGGGAUACCAUGAAAGGCGUUGGUAACUUAAGACAGCAGGACGGUGGCCAUGGAAGUCGGA
rnacentral:rRNA from 1 species